rfam:Camelus ferus unplaced genomic scaffold scaffold79, whole genome shotgun sequence.
GAGGGUAUAGCUCAGUGGUAGAGCACGUGCUUUGCAUGCACAAGGUCCUGGGUUCAACCCCCAGUACCUCUA